rnacentral:lncRNA from 1 species
GUAAAGAGGAAAAAAACAUAUUUCUUUAAAACGCAAAGUUGUUAAAAUGUAAACAAGCUUCCGAGUUUGGAAGUACUUCCCCCCAGGAUUUUAUUUUAUGCCCUGCUGGCAUAUUAUGUAGUAACAUCUCGUUAUAAAUUUAACUUGAAUUAUCCUGAUGACUAAUGAAGUUUGAAUAGAAUUUCACUUGUUGAUUUCUUCGUAACUCUUGCCCAUUUUUCUACUGUGUUGACUCUACAUAUUCUUAUUGAUUCAUAUAUUAUUUUUUAAGCAUUCUGGUUGUGAGGCUUUUCUUGGUUAUGUGUUGCAUAGGGUAUUUUGUGUAGCAUAUUUUGAUAAACAGACAUUAAUAUUUUUAAUGUAGUUCUUGUUAUUUAUCUUUUCCUUUAAGGUUAAUGCUUUUUGUAUUUGUUUUAAAAAAUCUCUCCUUAUGGCAAGACAAGGAACUUAUUUUCCUGUAUUAUCAUCUGGAAGUUGUAUUGUUUUUCUUAGAGCUACAGGUCAUCUGGAAUGAGCUGCAUAAUUUAAUGGGAAGUUUCAUCUUUUUCCAAAUGGAUAUACAGAUUACAGAAGUCUCAGUUUCCUCUUAAGCUUCUCAUUCAUUGAUACUACACAUCCAUCUCUAUAUUAUUUCCCUUGCAUUAGAAUACAGCAGUCAUAUUUUAUGAGUUUGUAUGUAGUUCUCAUUUUUUAACUGGUCAGACUUAGCAAAACUUUGCUUUACAGAGUCAAAGGAGAUGAGAAAAAUGACAGAAGAGUAGCUAAAAUUAUCUCUCCUCAACACAACUUUCUUCAGAAAAGGCCAUAAAGGUGUGUUCUGACUAACAAUACCAGUCCCAAGACAGUGGGUUGUUAUAAACAGGUCCUAUCGGGGGAACCCACCCCCAAUAUUUCAAUGUAGGUUCUAUUUUCCAUAAGUGUCAGCUGGCUGAGAAAUAGAGACAGUAUAAAGAGAGGAAUUUUACAGCCGGGCCACCGGGGGUGACAUCACAUAUCAGGAGGACCAUGAUGCCCAUCUGAGCCUCAAACCAGCAAGUUUUUUAUUAAGGGUUUCAAAAGGGGAGGGGGUGUAAAAGAGGGAGUAGGUACAAAGAUCACAUGCUGCAAAAGUCAAAAAGAAGAACUACUAAUAAGGGUCCAACAAAGAUCACAAGGCAAAGGGCAAAAGCAGAACUAAUGACAAGGGUCUAUGUUCAGUGGUGCACGUAUUGUCUUGAUAAACAUCAGAAAAUGGGGGUCGAGAGCAGAGAACCCAUCUGACCACAAAUUUACCAGGGCGGAGUUUUUCCCCACCCUAAUAAAUCUAAGACUUAGUCACUUUCUUUUUUAAGGAGAGCGCGUACUUAAGAGACCUUAAAAUCUUGACAGUGAACACUUGUCAUUAAUUUUAUUGUUGCACUUAAAAAUUAAGUAACUCACAGUUAAAAAAAAUGAAAAUCAAAAACCUACCAUUAUGAUCUGCAAAACAAUCUUGGAAAACCAGUAAAGGGUCAUGAGAUUUCAUCAGCAUUAGGGGUAGGGGAGAGCCAGCAGAAGAAACUUUAAGA